rnacentral:rRNA from 1 species
UGAAUGUCCUAGGGGGUAUUGCACUUACCGAAGACUAUCAAACUCCGAAUGCCGUAUUCUUUUGCUUGGGAGUCAGACUAUGGGUGAUAAGAUUCAUAGUCAAGAGGGCAACAGCCCAGAUCGUCAGCUAAGGUCCCUAAAUGUAAGUUAAGUGGUAAAGGAUGUGGAAUUGCACAGACAACCAGGAUGUUGGCUUAGAAGCAGCCACUCAUUUAAAGAGUGCGUAAUAGCUCACUGGUCGAGUGAUUCUGCGCCGAAAAUUUCCGGGGCUAAAACUUACUACCGAAGCUACGGCAUCAUUAUGAUGGGUAGGGGAGCUUUCUAUACGGGUUGAAGCAUGACCGUAAGGACAUGUGGACUGUAUAGAAGUGAGAAUGUUGGCAUGAGUAGCGAGAUGUGGGUGAGAAUCCCACAGGCCGUAAACCCAAGGUUUCCAGGGGAAGGUUCGUCCGCCCUGGGUUAGUCAGGACCUAAGCCGAGGCCGAAAGGCGUAGGUGAUGGACAACAGGUUGAUAUUCCUGUACCACCAAUAACCGUUUGAGAAAUGGGAUGACACAGUAGGAUAAGCUAACCGCACUGUUGGUUAUGUGCGGGCAAGUAUUGAGGCAGUUCCGAUAGGCAAAUCCGUCGGAAUAAUGCUGGGGUACGAUGCGGAGCGAAAUUAAGUAGCGAAGUAGCUGAUUUCACACUGUCGAGAAAAGUCUCUAUCGAGGUUAAAGGUGCCUGUACCGCAAACCGACACAGGUGGGUGAGGAGAGUAUCCUAAGGCCAGCGAGAGAACUGUUGUUAAGGAACUCGGCAAAAUGACCCCGUAACUUAGGGAGAAGGGGUGCCUUCGAAAGAAGGCCGCAGAGAAUAGGCCCAAGCGACUGUUUACCAAAAACAUAGGUUUCUGCUAAGUCGCAAGACGAUGUAUAGGAGCUGACGCCUGCCCGGUGCUGGAAGGUUAAGGGGAUCUGUUAGAGCAAUCGAAGCAGUGAACUUAAGCCCCAGUAAACGGCGGCCGUAACUAUAACGGUCCUAAGGUAGCGAAAUUCCUUGUCGGGUAAGUUCCGACCCGCACGAAAGGCGUAACGAUUUGGGCACUGUCUCAACAACAGACUCGGUGAAAUUGUAAUACCGGUGAAGAUGCCGGUUACCUGCGACAGGACGGAAAGACCCCAUGGAGCUUUACUGUAGCUUGACAUUGAGUCUCGGUGCUACAUGUACAGGAUAGGUGGGAGACUAUGAAGCAUGGACGUCAGUCUGUGUGGAGUCAUCCUUGGGAUACCACCCUUGUAGUACUGGGAUUCUAACCAGAGGCCAUGAAUCUGGUCUUGGGACACUGUCAGGUGGACAGUUUGACUGGGGCGGUCGCCUCCCAAAAAGUAACGGAGGCGCUCAAAGGUUCUCUCAGUACGGUCGGAAAUCGUACGAAGAGUGUAAAGGCAAAAGAGAGCUUGAUUGCAAGACAUACAGGUCGAGCAAGGACGAAAGUCGGACUUAGUGAUCCGGUGGUUCCGCAUGGAAGGGCCAUCGCUCAACGGAUAAAAGCUACCCUGGGGAUAACAGGCUGAUCUCCCCCAAGAGUCCACAUCGACGGGGAGGUUUGGCACCUCGAUGUCGGCUCAUCACAUCCUGGGGCUGUAUUCGGUCCCAAGGGUUCGGCUGUUCGCCGAUUAAAGUGGUACGCGAGCUGGGUUCAGAACGUCGUGAGACAGUUCGGUCCCUAUCCGUCGCAGGCGUAGGAAAUUUGAGGAGACCUGUCCUUAGUACGAGAGGACCGGGAUGGACGUACCGCUGGUGUACCAGUUGUUCUGCCAAGGGCAUGGCUGGGUAGCUAAGUACGGAAAGGAUAAGCGCUGAAAGCAUCUAAGCGCGAAGCCCACUUCAAGAUAAGAUUUCCCACCGCAAGGUUAAGAUCCCAGGAAGACUACCUGGUUGA